AUUGAACGCUGGCGGCAGGCCUAACACAUGCAAGUCGAACGAGUGGCGGACGGGUGAGUAAUGUCUGGGAAACUGCCUGAUGGAGGGGGAUAACUACUGGAAACGGUAGCUAAUACCGCAUACCAUCGGAUGUGCCCAGAUGGGAUUAGCUAGUAGGGGGGGUAAAGGCGCACCAAGGCGACGAUCCCUAGCUGGUCUGAGAGGAUGACCAGCCACACUGGAACUGGGACACGGUCCAGACUCCUACGGGCGGCAGCAGAGGGGAAUAUGGCAAAAUGGGCGAAAGCCUGAUGCAGCCAUGCCGCGUGUAGGAAGAAGGCCUUCGGGUUGUAAAGUACUUUCAGCGGGGAGGCGUUACCCGCAGAAGAAGCACCGGCUAACUCCGUGCCAGCCGCCGCGGUAAUUC
rnacentral:rRNA from 1 species